AAUCUAUGGUUCGAGCAUUUUUGAAUCAACAUUUUGAAGCAUUCUCACACCUCAUAGAAGCUUUCCCCUUCCAUCUAUCUAAAGAAAGUAAUAUAUCUUCUUAAUU
rfam:Gossypium raimondii chromosome 8, whole genome shotgun sequence.